AGUAAACAAUUUGCUGAAACUUUUAUUAAAAUUGUGUGCUGUUUUUUAAAUUGUUCAAAUACGUUUGCUGUGAAGAGUUUUGCUUUCGAAAAUGUGAAAUAUACUUGUAGACAUGAAUUGCCUAUUCACUAUAUGAGGUUGCAAGUAGAAAUAUUUAUGAAAAUGGCAGGAGUAUUAAAGGAGCAUAAUUUGAAUUAAGUGCAUUUUAUUUGAACCAUUGAUAACCAACGUGGGUGAAUAAAAACCGAGUUCUAUAAGUAUUUACAAGGAAUGCAUUGCAUAUAUAUAUGAAUCUAACUACGCGAGGUAUUGGACCGGCUUACUAAAUCCAAAACGGCAUAGAAGCACAUGCAAGGCAAGCUGCAAUAAGUUAUACAAGUAGAGAAGAAACGCGCAACAAGUAAUAGCAAAUGCAAAAAUACAUAGUUGUAAGAACAACAAAUGGUGUAAUAGUGGAUAUAAUACCAAUAAAUAAUGCAUAAAAGCAAAGGCAAGGUUGCAAACUGGUAUUGGAGUAAUGUGAAACCGUCGCGCUGUGGGAGGAGGUGGUGUGGUAUAUAACAGCAACAAGACCAAACCGCUGUUGUUUGUUGUUUUUAUUGUGCUUGUACUUGCACCUAGUUAUUUUUUUUUGUUUUGCUGCUUGUAUAUUUGAGAUCAAGAUCAAGGUUUUUUCCCUCAGCCUCAUGCAAUACCUUGCUGCUUAUGUGCUUGUACUUGUUUUCUGUUUUUGUUUUUGCCAUUUCUUAACGACAACCAGUUGUGCGCGUUAGUACAAUGCAAUGCAAAACAACGCCUAAAAAACUUCUAAACAGUGCAAGUAGCUGCAGACAACGGCAAAAUUAUAGCUGUUCAGAAAUACCUAUGUAUGUACGUCGUUUGGCCCAGCUGGGAUGUGAGAAACAAUGCCGUUCGAAGGCAAGGAUACCGGCCAAUUCAAUAACAUACAAACAAAUGUUGAUACGUACAUAAACUCGAUAAGGGGUCCAAGCAUUCGUUAGCAAAGCAAAUGUUAAAACGUUAAAAGCGACAAAUACAUACAUACAUACAUAUAAGCAAACUGAUCAGGGCAGAAGACUGCACGAAAGAUGUUGCCUUCCCGACAAGUUUACUACGAAAAAAAAUCAAAGCCAAAGUCAGAGUCAAUGGCAGAACGAAAAGUUGAGAACGACGUUUGGCGUCGUGAACACGCAAUGCUUUGGUGUAGCUAUUUUCGUUGAAGGCAUACAACCUACGUACAAUAUAAAUACAUAUAUAAUGUUGUAUGUACGAGUAUGUGCGGCAUUCAAGUGCCAGCCUACCAAAGUUUUUCAAAAAACCAAGUUAAAAUAUGUACGAGUAUGUGCUGAGCAUAAAAAAUGAACGCUGUUGUUGCUGUUUAAGCGAAAGGGGUACUAAAGGAUGAAACAUAUAUAAAGUAAUGGAAAAGAAUCACGCGAAACAAAGUUUGCAACUAUUACGUCUGCUUGGCUGGGCACGUUUUGCUUGGCCGUUGACUAUGACCACACGGUAUAUACCAGCAGCUCAAGACACAGAAUGUAUCUAGAGGAUAAAAGUUAUAUAUAAAUAUGUGCUACGUAAUGUAAUUACGUGUAUGUGUGUGCGCGCAUAUGCUUAGUAGUUGAAUUUAAAAUAGUUGCCAGAAGAAUACCAAAGCCCAUGAUUACAUUGGACGAAGUGCUGGCAGAAGCGGUAUGACAACAGUGGUAACAGUGGUAUGAGCUGGCCGACAGAACGUAGCAUACAUACUUACGUGCAUAAUAACUAACGUACGUAAGAGAUAGGUGUGUACGUAAGUGAUAGGUGUGUAUGUUUGUUCUUCGUGUGCAGUAUAACCAGUUUUUCGUAUACUUCUAUAUCUGUUUGUAAUUGCAAGCGCAUAAGAAGCUCACAUUUUACGCCAGCUGACUUGAGGUGUUGGAAGACUGCACUUGAGCUUGAGUUUGCUAAAUUAAUUAUAUAGUAAAUUACAUGCUAAGUGUUAUAAUUUUGUUAUAAAGGAAGAUGCGUCGAAAAUGCAUUAGGAAUACUGAGACGAAAUGAGAAAUUUAAUUUUAAUUAAAAAAAUACUAAUAUUAAUUUUUAAAAAUUUGCUACCAUAUAAAUUAUGGCAUAUUAAAUAUCGCCAUAAAUAAAAGUACUGUUGUUUGCAGCAUUUCAAUUUUGAUCAGCUCAUUCUUAGCAGAUUUUUUUUUUUUUUGCAAAUUAAUUUCUUUCACAACAUUUUGAAAGAAAUCUAAUUACAAAUUCUAGGCAUAACCGUGCGGUAGCAGCAAUCUAACUUGGUUUGUGCAUUGACUGGGUGCUAAGACGAGUGUGUAUGUAUGUAUACGUGUGUAUAAGUACGAGAGAGUGGAUGGCGAGUGAUUUAUAAAAAUAUAUCUACAACAAUUGCAUUGCAUAUAUAAGAUUCUUGAAUGAAUUUAUUCAAGCCAAGUCCGUCAAAGCUUGCAAAUAAAUUUUUCAAUAAUAUUGCAUGCAUUAAUAAAUAUGUAUGUAUGUAUGUAAGACGUGCUGUAAAUAGUAUGUGAACGAAAAUGUGCACGUCAGAGCAUUGCUCUUUAACUUUUUAUUAUAUUCUCAUGACGUUAAGUAAUUCAAAUUGAAUUGUAAAUGUCAAUAUAGCCACAUAUGUAUAUAAAUUAAUUAUAAAAUGUUCUCAAAUACAAUGUAGCCGCUUAACUGGCCUUAAAGCUGCCAUAGAAUUCAACAUAUGUAAGUAACUAAUAAGGCAGUCUGCAAGCUUAGCAAGCAAAUAUAGAACUGCUUUAUUACAAAAUAAUUGACAGUGAGUGGAAUUAAAUAGCAGUGCAUAUAUGUAUAUAUGGUAUAGAAAAUCAAGUUAUUAAUUAAAAAUAAGUAAAAAAUAUUUUAAUUUAAAUGCAAAUAUGUAGCAUGUAUUGUCUGUCAAGUUUGCUUUAAUGCACGGGGUUGUACUUUAAGUAAAAUAAUUACAUUUGGCAGUGAACUUCCCAUAUAACAACAAACAAGCAUUGCGCGUUUCCCUUGUGAUUUCAACUCGUUUGCUUAAUGCCUGUGCGUACAUAGUAUUUAAUUCUAAUUUUUCCAAGUAAUUGCUCGUUAGUUAUUAUAAACAGGAAGUCCUUUUCGCGCGCUUAUUGCAAACUUGACAAGCUAGCGAAAAGCUUAAGCAGCCAAAUGAUGUAUUUGUUUGUUUAGUGUUUGUUUGUAUGUAUGUUAGCUGGUUAGACAAACAUUAAACUUAAACUUGUGUACACAGAAGUAAAUUGCAAAAAUUAAAGAAAAAAAUAAUAAAAAUGACGGCAAACCCGUCUUACGGCUUACGUGAUGGCUAUACGUAGCCGCUAUAUCAUUAACAUAUGCGCACAUUUAACGAGCGCUGGGAAUGCGCAUAGUUGUUGUAUACAUAUGUACAUAUUUUCUGCUACAUUAGAUUGAUUUCUGCAAAUCAUAACCACGUUUCUGCAAUUAUGCCAAAUCAUUUAUCACAAUUUAAUAAUACCACAGCCGGCUGCCAAGAAGUUUGACAACAAAUGCAAAGUGAAAAAAGAAAAAAAUAAAAAUAAUUGUAGCUGAAUUUCAAGCGAAUUGAUUGAAUAGCUGAGA